rnacentral:misc_RNA from 1 species
GAAUUGUCUCUCCAUCUUAUUUCUGUGCUGCCACUUGCUAGACAAAAGUAUAGUUGGACAUCUUUCAUGUGCAAUACAGAAUAGGUAAGCAAUUAAAUAUCAAAAAUAUACACGAUUGUAUGUUCAAAACAUUACAAUGCCCAUAACAAGGAAAAAUGGAACUGGACGGAGAAGGCCUUAACUCGAAAAAGAAGGAAAGAAAACAUACAUGACACUACCUCAGACUACAAGUCCCAUUACGGUAGCCGCACUUCUUGAAACGAAAAUACCAAUACUAUGACUGCAUCACCUUAUUUUGUUCAACACAUGUGGGUGCCUUGAAUGUUUGACACUUCCACAUUGGCCUCUCAAGCGGAAAAAUGGGAUUAUUACUUGUAGUACCUUUGUUGAUGUUCUCAUCGAAUGAUGAUGAACUCUUGGAUUUCAAAUCCUCUUUAGGGCUUGCUUGAUCCCUGAAGCUGCAAAUGCUGAGUGGUAACUUUUUCUGCUUAAGCCUUCCUUUCUUUUUCUCAAUGCUGCAACUAUCAUUUACAGAAUCCCCAACUUUCUCCUUUGAGAUAAUUGAUUCUCUUUCCUUGUUUUCCAUAUUUACAUUGUCAGCUUUACUAGAGUGUGAUGCUUCCCCAUUUUCCAUUUUUGUGAGGUCAGAUUUAUUAAAUUUUGUGUUUAAAUCUACUCUAACAAGGUCUUUAUCCGAGAUAUGCCUAUCUGACUCUCUUUCUCUAGUAAAACCAUUCCCAUUGCUCGUGGAAGGACAGUUUCCUUCCACGGAUGUACUUCCAGUCUGAAGCUUAGAUUUUUCAGAAGGAGAAGACCUCUUCAGCCUCUUAUGUUUUUGAUUUCUUGAGUCAGAUGUUGAGUUCUUCAAAAUUCUUGGAGAGCUAUUAAUGGCCCUAUGCAACGUCCGAGCUAACUCUUCAUCUGUUCUACAAUCAUCAGUCCCCUUAUUCUUAUUAUACAGCGUCUGAACAGGAACAUGUUUUUUCAUCUUAUUCCUCUUCAAAUGUUUGUCCCUACUGGUUCCCUCAUCAGAGAGAGUGGCAACCAAUUCUAGAGCGCUCUUAGCAGCAGCCACAGCCUUUGCUGCUUUCGCAGCCUUCUCUUCUGCAAUGGCUCUUGCAGCUUUUGCAGCCUUCACAGCUUCUAGAGCUGCCAAUCUUGAGGCCUCAGCAAUCUCCUCAUUAGAUCGAUUAGAGUCUCCAAAAUGAGACUUCAAUAGAUUAUUAAGACGGAUAUCAAAAUCACACGGGGGACUAUUAACAGUUGGUGGGGAUGGGGUAGAUGAGUAAACAUCAGAAUUCUGCUUCUUCAAUCCAGCAAGAAGCCGCUUACGUGGAGGCAAAAGCACAUCGGCAUCCAAG